UACGUAGGGUGCAAGCGUUGUCCGGAAUUAUUGGGCGUAAAGAGCUCGUAGGCGGUUUGUCACGUCGGCUGUGAAAACCCGAGGCUCAACCUCGGGCCUGCAGUCGAUACGGGCAGACUAGAGUAUGGCAGGGGAGACUGGAAUUCCUGGUGUAGCGGUGAAAUGCGCAGAUAUCAGGAGGAACACCAAUGGCGAAGGCAGCUCGCUGGGACGGUACUGACGCUGAGGAGCGAAAGCAUGGGGAGCGAACAGG
rnacentral:rRNA from 1 species